AAAUUGAAGAGUUUGAUCAUGGCUCAGAUUGAACGCUGGCGGCAGGCCUAACACAUGCAAGUCGAGCGGAAAC
rnacentral:rRNA from 2 species